rnacentral:rRNA from 1 species
UACAGAGGUCUCAACCGUUGUUCGGAUUCAUUGGGCGUAAAGGGUGCGUAGGCGGCGGGGUAAGUCAGGUGUGAAAUCUCGGGGCUCAACCCCGAAACUGCACUUGAUACUGCCUCGCUUGAGUACUGGAGAGGAGACUGGAAUUUACGGUGUAGCAGUGAAAUGCGUAGAUAUCGUAAGGAAGACCAGUGGCGAAGGCGAGUCUCUGGACAACUCCUGACACUGAGGCACGAAAGCUAGGGGAGCAAACAGG